rnacentral:rRNA from 1 species
UACAGAGGUCCCGAGCGUUGUUCGGGAUCACUGGGCGUAAAGGGUGCGUAGGCGGUCGGGUAAGUCUGAUGUGAAAUCUCACAGCUUAACUGUGAAACUGCAUUGGAUACUAUUCGGCUUGAGAGUUGGAGGGGGGACUGGAAUUCUCGGUGUAGCAGUGAAAUUCGUAGAUAUUCGCAAGAACACCAGUGGCGAAGGCGGCUCACUGGCCCGAUACUGACGCUGAGGCACGAAAGCGUGGGGAGCAAACAGG